AACAUUCUUCUGAAAAAGUGGCUUAAGUCCUAAGAAGGUUAAAUUAACUAUGUAAAAGUUAACAUUACUCUUGAAAACAACAGACAUAUUAGGUGUCUUAUGUACACAAGCAUCCAUUUGUGUGUGUGUAGAUAUAUAUAUAUAUAUAUAUAUAUAUAUAUAAUAUCAAGUUGUGUAAAUUGCAUGUUUUAGAAUGUCACAAUUAUUUAACUAUUCUUGGCAACUAAUCAUCCUUUAUAUAUACAAAUAUAUACCAAAUAAUCACAAUAGUGGAAUUUUAUUUCAUAAACAUAUGUAAUUUCUUGAAAAUAUUUCUUUAUAUUAAUGUUAAUAUCAAUAUAAAAAAAUUAAUUACCAAAAUAUUAUUAGUAAUUAUAUUGAACAAUUUGAUAUAUACAAUAGAGAAGAAAUUUCUAGAGUAGGUUUUAAUACAUGGUUUACGAAUGCAAAGCAUUUUAUAUAGUUCUUUCAUCAAAUUGAAGGAAUAAUUACUUUAAUCUAAUUAAAAGUUAAUUUUGCAUGUGUAUUAGAGUUCAAUUUUAAUCUGUUUUGAAAGUAAUCACACAUUUGAUAGUAAUGAUGAUUAUUAUUAUUAUUUUUAUUUUACUUGUUAAUUUAAAGAUAUGUUAUAGAUUAAAUUGUAACAACAUCUAUUUUAAAGAAAUAAAUAGUAUUAAAAAUACAAAUUUAAUUUAUAGAUGUUUAUUACUUCUUAAAAUAGAAAUUAAAAUAUGCAUUAUAGAUAUCAUUUAAAUAACUUAAAUUAUAAACAUUAAAAUAUAUGAAUAGUAUUAUACAAGAUUUAUUGUAAAAUAAGAUUAAUUAUUAGGAUAUCUUAUACUUGUGACAUUCUAAUAAGUGCUUAUCCUUUAUAAGACAUCCUAAUAAUUGCUUAUCCUUUAUAAGACAAUUAUAAAAGUAAGUGCUUAUCCUUUAUAAUACAAUUUUAUUUUUUAUCAUAUUAUAAUUAUUGUUUUAAUAGCUAACCUUGUAAAAAACUAUUGAAUCUAAAAUUAUAUAUAUAUAUAUAUAUAUAAUUCACUCCAAGAAUUAACUUUAUAGAAAUAAUCAAGCCAUUUUAAUAGCCAAUGGUAUAUGAGCAUGUUGAAUAAAUUUUCAUAGAAUUAAAAUAAAAAAUAUAUGCACUUAAAAUGAUGUAUUAAUAUGUACCAAAUACUUGAAAAUUAUCUAUUCAAAGAAUGGUGAAUUUUAAAACUUGACUAUUAAUGUAAUUUACUUCAAAUUUCAAUUCAAAUAUUAAUAAUGUAGGUGUUGUAAGAAGAAGUAAAUAAUAUUAUAAUGUAGUUUUUUCCACUUAUCUAUUUGUAAGCAUGCCAUUAGAAAACUUUUAUAAUAUUUAUAUUUUAUAUUCUAAAACUUGGUUUUAAAAAUAAUCUUUGUAUACAUCUUUAUAUUUGAACAAUAUAGAUUUGCAGUGAAAAAUAAAUUUGAAAUAGUUAGAAGUAUUUAUUGUAUUAAAUUCAUGCAUUAAAAAAGAAAAAAGAAAAAAGAAAAAGUGUGUGUUCUCAAUGCAAGUAUAUAUAUAUAUGUUAAAUAAUAAUAAUAAAAUCAAAAUAAAAAUCCAAAGAUUGAUGUAGCAGUUUAAAACUAGACUGAAAUUAGUAUCCAGAGUUUUGAAAAAUGGUUAAAAAGAAAGAAUGGUUUGAAUAUACUGGUUACAAUAGAUCAACUGGAAUUGCACUGUCCAUCAGAGUUGGUAUAUAGAUUAUGCAUAAGUUGUUUGACCUUCAAUAAUUAUUUCAAGUCAGACUUUAGCAGAUUAUAACCUUAGGAAAAUACCAAUACAUUAUGUGUGUAUAGUGGGUAUUGAAAAUACCAAUACAUUAUGUUUGUAUAGUGGGUAUUGAAAAUACCAAUAAAUUACGUGUAUAUAUUGUUACUGUUAUUUUGAUAUCCUAUUUUCAAAACAAUAGUUACAUUAUAAUUCUUAACUUUGAAGUUAUACAUUUUUUUAAACAAGAUUCCUUUAAGUUUAUUUGUAUCUUCAAAUAAAUUAAGCUUUGGGGUUUAGAAUCAUACAAGAGCAAAGUUUAAAUCUUGCAUUCCUAAAUACCAAGGCUCAUUAUAGCAUGAGGUAAUCACUCCUCAAUUAAUUCCAUUCAAGUAAUUUUCAAAAUAUGAUUCAUUGUACACAAAAGUCUCACUAUUUUACCAAAUAAUAAAGAGAUAGAAAAAAAACAAUGGAAUUAAAAGUAAAAGAGAGAGAGAGAGAGAGAGAGAGAGAGAGGAUAACUGAUACUUUUCUUAUCAAAAACUCGUUUCUACAGGCCAAGAUUGAGUAUGAGAUGAAAAUUUUGCCACCCAACGACAGCGACCUGGCAGGAAAACGCGGGUGGGGAUGUACCGACAUAAAACCCAGCCCGUCCCAGUCGGCGUGCCCCGCACGAGCCUGUGGCCAGCUUCGCCGAGGGGGCGCCGUUUAAUCGAGGACGAGGCAAGUGCACGAGAUCAUUCAUUCAUGCGCUCUCGGACAAUGUGACGACGACGACGACGAAGAAGAAGCUGGCAAUGACGUGCAAUCCCAACUCGCCGUAGCAGGCAGGAAACACUCAUCGCUACUGCCACUUCCAGACUUUAAGAACGUCGCAUGAAGAGGAGCGUCGAGUACUGCUUGUCCAUGGUGAUUGUCUCACAAUUGAUUGCUCGGUGCCAGGCGGUGUCGCGCCUCAGGGCCUGAUCGACCGUUGCUGUUGUUGUUGAAGUUGGAGCAGGCGAUGUGACGAACACAGCGAUUGCUGCUUGAAGUCAAAAGUGAGUUCCGAGGAGGCUAGUAACGCGACCGUCCCGUCUAGAGAAGGUGUAGAGCGGCUGGUAUCAGUUUUUCGGAAGGGAUGAGGCGCGUCGCGGCCUUGACGUAUUGUGAGACUCGAUCGGUAGUAGUAUUGGGGUUGCUGAUUCUGAGCUUGAGUGCCGUGGUAGUGGUGGUGGUGGAUUCGGCGCGACUAGUGGAGGCCGCCUCAGAACAGCCCAGGAAGUUGACGACGCCUGAGUCUGUGCAGGUCUUUGUCGAGCCAGAACUGUUACCGCAGCGCGUGAAACCUUUUUCUACUGGUCGCUUCGGAGAUGGGGAUGGGGACGAUGCGAUGUGGGAUAUGGAGGCGAAGCCGCCACCUUCGCAUAGACUGCGGGAUCGUACCCUGUGGGGAUAUUCCAAACGUGUCGUUCCGACAGGACCCAAUCCGCUUCACAAUUAGGCUUAGUAGCUUGGUUCGGCAUCCAGGAGGAGGAGGUUUAGCGAACGGACACUAGAGGUUGCUUUUCAGGGUUAUUCUGUGACGUGUUCAGCUUGUGCUGCGACCGCCUUCUUCCUCUUCAAUUAGAAACCGUAUUUCUCUGCUUCAUCAACAGGAACAGAUAUCUGCCCCGGCGCCGCCGAUCUCAAACUUGCCCUCCCUUGUUUCCAUUGCGUCGGUGACUUCGACUCUGCGCAAACUUUCAUGCAAAUUAUUGUUAGUCUUAGUACUACUACCAUUAUAAUUACUCUCAUUAUUCUGGCCGCAUGAUUGAAAUACUCUAUGAGAUGGCUUUUGGGAAAGGCUAUUCUCACCGCAAGGUUACUCAGUCGGCUUGAUUGCAGUUCCAACCGGAGUUUUCGCUGAGCAAUCCAAAGUAUUUGAUUUAGGAGACACGUUCACCGACUGACGGGGUUCUGAGCUGUAGAAUAGUGAACCCAGAGACUAAGUCCCUUCGAUUAUACGAGUGUUCAAACCUGCAGAACCUUGUGAGGUACUGAAGCUAUAGAGUACACUUCUCCAUCAAAGACAUACCAUCAAAAUAGCGGUUUAGAAGAUUUAUGUUUUAUGCGCAACCAUGAUUGAAUCAUUCAAGCUAUGCCAGCCUGUAGGACGCGAUCGAGCACCAUCAACAAAGGACUUGCUCGACGAUUCAACGCUGGAUGGUUGCGGGUAUUCAAUAACAGGGGCAUAGUUGUUUAAAUAUUAUAUACUGAGUGCAGCUUUCCAGGCUCGAAAGGGGUUGGGGAACGCCACAUUGAAAGUUGGAUCACAGUCGGGAUAUCUUAGGAGGGGGAGCGAAUCAUUGCGAUUCAUAGCUGCCAUUAAAAUUUAUUGCUUUCAGUAGGACAUUUAUCAUCGUGAGUUCGUGUGUAAAGAAUUGCAAAUAAUUGGGAGGAUGUGAAUGCCACGGCUGUACUCAUUUCUUUCCUUUCACCUUAUAUCUUAGAGGUCACUACUUGUGACUGAUCUUUUGAGCUGCCGGAUUUUGUCCUAAAUGGCGACUGCGUUCUCAUGUCCAUCACUGGUGCUGCGCGAAAAAAAUAGCACCAUAGCUAUCACAUCGGCGUCUCUUGCAAACAACAGUGUCCAGUAUAUUGCAUGACAUCAGUGCUGAAACUGUUAUUUCCAAUCUUAAUAGCGCAGAGAUGUUUUCAUUAUGAGAGGCUGUGUUUUAGUAGUUUCAGAGGUUUCCUCUGGCGGCUUGUCUCUACCCUUGCAAUGCAAUGAGAUAUAUUUAAUGCCAGGAAAGUCGAAACUGAAAUGCAGAUCAAUUAUGCAUUAAGUCCUGAUUUAAGAGUUGGGGUAAUUGGAACAUAACCUGCAGUUAUCUGCCGUGAUCGCCAAAAGCUGAUGCACAGCAACAAUCCAAUGUCCUUCACUUUCUAGAAGAUGUAGCUCCAGAAUCUAGCUUCCAAUUGCUACUAUCUCCUAGAGGAGUGCGUUGAUAGGUUCCCUUCUCUUGGACCAUUCCUCGAGAGAGCUUUAUAUUACCAUUGAUAUCAUAAUCUUAACACAACAAUCAUUCGGAUAUGCAGACGGGCUGAAUGCGAAACGUAGGUUAGAGGAUUUAGUGAGCAACGGGUUUAUUAUUUUAUUUUAUUUUUUGCAUAUCAAUGAAAUCCGUGGGACCUGGAGUAAACCACCAGCUGACGACAGGUUGCAAAACAAAGCAUUUGACAGGGGUGCAGAGUUUUUAGACCUCCAAGACGGGGAGGGAUCUCCAGUAAUGAACUAUCAGUCCCAAAACUUGCGGCGCCCAUGAAUGCACUUCCAUUGACGCGUUUCGGUCCCUUCUUCGAUCCCUACAUUCAAUCUGUACCAUCUGCUCAAUCAAUUUUUACGAGCCGGUCGGGGCCUGUGGCUGUCCAAAAAAAUCUAAACUCGUACAGCGAGACUGUCCUCACCUCCGGACACGGCAAGAGACAAGUGCCUCUUCGUUUGUCACGAAGUUUUUUCCACGCUAUACUACAGUAACAGUAGAAGGUUGUCAGCCCAGGUCUCCAGAGCAACCUUUUCCUCCUGAAGAAAUUCAAUAUCAAAGGCGGGGUUCGUAGCAGACUUUGACCUAGAAUGUACUGCUUUGAUGGACAUGAUCGGAGCUAGGGGGUGCCGUGUCCGGCAAAAUUCGGCCCCCGCCAAUGGUCUAAAAUUUUCACUCCCAUUUGAGAAAUCUCCUACUGGUCCAAAAUUAGACAAGUCCUCAUGCAUCCGAAACAAUCUUAAUUAUAAAGACGACGACGACGAGGCUGUACACAAGGACAGCCAUGGGUGGGGACCGUAAGCUGUAUUUGGCUCACUCCUAGUGCUGUGUACUACACAAAACGGGUGCAGCCAAGACGAUGAACUUCGUUCUAGAAGAAGCUCUUUGUUGACCUGCAUCCGAUCACCAACAACCUAUCCAUCUGCACAGAGCCAGCCUGCUGGCCUCCAGCAAAGAUUCUCUCCAAGUCCGCCAAUAAAACGCCCCCCACCUUCUCUGGUCUUGCAACAUGAAUGCUACCCACGUUAACGUCCAACUUAUCGAACGAUCUGGCAAGCAAUACCAUCAAAACCUGAAGGUAAAAAACCCAGACUAGUCUUCGGCAAAGUCAAGUAUACUAUCACCAAUAGUCUACAUUGUGGGUAGGUGGGUGGGUGGCGACAUUGUGGCAAAAAAUUCCUCAUUUCAUCAUGUAUUAGUGUAUGACGUCGGAGAAGAAGAGGCGCUGUAUCCAGGACCUCAAAGUCCAUGACAUGAGGCUCUCUAAUCCGCGACACCCAUGGCUCCGACCAGCAACGCGGGAUGCAUUUAACGCAAUGCUUGAGCAUCACGCGGCGAGGCACGCGACAUGCAGGGCCCGGAUCCCUGGCACCUGGCCCUUAUUCGCAAUCUCCUUUGGAUGCUGCGCUGGGAAAGUAGCCCACUGUAAAAGCCGACGACGACGACAACGACAAAAUGGGUCAAGUGGUGUCAGUCUCUGCCACAAUCUACACAGGAAUUUCGACCUCGCCAGGGCGCUUCCGCAACACGUCGAAAGAUGUAAUCCGCAAUCACCCUUCAGCAACAACCGGAUCAAAGGUGGAGGCUUUGGUUGCAUGAGGAUGGUGAUCAUCAAUCAUCAAACAUUCAAAAAAACAAAAAAACAAAAAAACAAAAAAAAAACCCACUUUCCAUGCUUGUUAAAGAAUUGGUAGAGUGUCUUGCAAGUUGCAAGUUGGUGUGGAGUUGUCAAAUAUGGAGUUGUAUCUUUUUUGAAACUAUUGUGAAAGGGGUUUUUUAUAUUCUGGAAAGAAGUUGCAAGGUUAUGGUAUUUUUUAUUCUUUUGUUGGCUGAUAUUAAGAUGUAGUAUUUAGUUGGUAUGUUUUGUGUUAAGAAAAAUCAGGGCAAAGGCUUUAAGAUGACAAGAUUAGAAUAUACUAUUUUUCUUUCAUGGCAUGAAUAUUGUUGUGUCCUAAAAUUUGCAGUAGAUCUACCUCAAGUGAGUUUUAGAGAAAUUUAGAGAAAUUUUGUCAAAAACUCAUAGUUUUUUUGAGUAAUAUAAAACAUAUAAACGAUAUAUAUUACAAUUUUUAGAAUUUAUAAAUAAAGACACACGUUGAGGCUUAUAAUAAAAUAAUAUUUUGAUUCAUCUUAUGGUCUCUUACGACCGUGUAUUAACUCUAAAAGCCAUAGCUUCUAAAAGAAUUUUCCUCUUUAUAAGCAAUUGACCUUUGUAAGGCUUUUGUACUAUGGCUUUUCAAAAUGGAUUUUUGGAUAUAUUGACCCUUUUAUUUAUUAGUGGAUUUUUUUAUUAUUGUGUAAUAAAGACUAUGCUUCUAUAAAGAUUAAGAUUAGUUAUAAUUUAUUUAUUUAUUUAUUUCUCUUGUUUCUUUCAACUUGGUCAAAUAGAACGUAGUAUAUUCUGUUAUAUUAGAUCUUUUGUGUUUUUUUCUAUAAAAUAUCUAUUUAAUUAAUAUACUUAAAGUAAGACAGCAUUAAUGUUAUCAAUCAUUGACUUGUUUUCAUAAGAAAUAAGAAUAUUUUAAUUAAAAUCUUUCUUCUUCUUUUUUCAAUCAUUGUUGUAAAACCAAUAAAAGAAAUUUAUUUUGUCUGCAUACAAUUAUUUUUUCAGUAUAUAUAUUUAUAUAUAUAAAGAUGAAUAUUCUUUGUAAUUUCUACUUUACAGAUAGAAGAUUCAAUUAUUUUAGUAACAAUUUUUUAAAAUAAAUUAGAAAUUGACUAUUUCCUUAUUUAAAAAAGUAAUGUUACUGAGUAAUAAAUUAUCAUAAAAUUUAUCUUACAAGAACUAGCCAAUCCUAUACACUCAACUAAUAUUCAAUGUAAUAAAAUUAUUGCAACCAAUUUGAAGUAAAAUCUAAUUAAAAAUAAUUGAAGAAAAAAAUUCCUAAUUGCUAGUCCAAUAAAGUAACAAGUUAUUUUUAUUUUAUCUUAAAUUAAAUUAAUUUUUUAUUUAUUUUAAAAACUAAUCUAUUUUUUGUUUUAAACCAAUCUCAGUGAUCUAUAAAAGAGAGUUUAUAUGAAUACAAUCUACACAUAUUUAUGUAUACUGAAGAUAACUAUUAAAUUUAUAUAUUUUUAAAUCACUAACUUAAUCUACUUUCAAGUUGAUGUAGAAAUAUUAUACAUUAUUUGAUUCAUAAUUUCGAACCAAUCUAUAGUAGAGAAGUCAUUUUUAUCUAACUAUAUUUUUAUGAGUUAGAAUCCUAUGCCAAAAUGACUUAGUCAAGGUCUCAUUAUACCUUUUCUGUAUUUUGUUAUACAAUAGAUUUUUUUGCUAUGAAAAAAUAAAAAAAAAUCUAUAUUUCUUAAAGCUAACCAAGUAUUCUAAUAUUGGAAAUAUUUUUAAUUAUCCAAAAAAAAAAAAUGCAAUCAUUCUUAUCUUUAACUUCUACAAUUAUUUAUAUAAAUUAGAUAAGAAACAAUUUGUUUACUUCUAAGUCUUGACUAUCUUGUCUUUUCAAAAGCUUCAAAGAUGUAAUAUAAUCUCUACUGUAAUUCUUCAGUAAAAAUUUAAAUUUUUAAUAAAAUAUAAUUGACUCUAUCAUUCAUUUACCUUUUGAAACUUAUAAAUAAUAUACUAUUAUCAAAAAAAUAAUUUAAUUUUUAUUAUUUAAUUUGACUGUAUCUAUAAAAAUAUUUUUACAAGUGGAUUGUUUUUAUUGGUAUUUAACAUGUAAAUAUGUUUUGAAGCUAUAACUUAAGAAGAUGAUAUUUAUUUUAUUAUAAAAUUAAAAUUAUGUAAAUAUUAGAUUGUGUAUCUAUUUUAUUGUUUUAACUAAGUUAAGUCAAUCACAUUGAUUAGGAUUGAAUUUGUCUUUUGUAUCUAAAAAAAAUCAAAUUCUCUUUCUUAUUUAUAUUUUGGUUUAUGUUUAAUUUCCUUCAAAAAUAUUAUCACAUGAAUAAUUGAAUACUUGUCUAAUUUCUUUUUAAAAUAAUUCAUCUUAUAGUAUUUUUUAAAGCUUCACCAAUUGAACUACUAACGAAAUCUAACAAACAAAAAACUUUAAAAGUAAUAAUGAUAUAGAUACUCGAAAGUCUUAAAAAUAUGACAGUUUAUUAAGAUUUCUUAGUUAUAAUUAUCAAAUUCUUAUUUUAAUAUUUAAUCAAAUUAUUAUUUUAGUUGUAAUUUAAUCAAAUUAUUAUUUUGUUAUAUGUAAAAUUGUUUUUUUAAUAAUUUUAUAAAAAUAAAAAAAUGAAUUUUUAAUUUUUAAUUUUAAGUAAAGUUAAGUCGAUUUUGUUUGGAAAAUUAUAUCUCUCUAAUUACUAACUAAACAUAAUAUUUUUUUUAUCAUACAUGUCUUAAAGCAAUACAAGAAUAAUUCUGAGAAAAAUUAAAUAUUUUGGUAUCUUCUUGCUUAAUAGGUAUAUGUUGUAUUUUAUAAGAUUAAUAGUAGCAUGGCCUCACAAUCUAUUCAGAAAAUUAAAGCAUGCUUGUUGUGAACUUGUAUGCUUUAAGUAUAUAAACAUAGUUUAUCUGCCAAGUGCAAUACAUAUUGAAUUCAUUGUCAUAGAUAUAAAUAAAUAAAAUACAUAAAAACAAAUUUUAUUAUAUAUUUAAAUAAUAAUAAUAAUAAUCAAAUAUAUUAUACAAAGAAACAAAAGAUUUUGAAAUAAUAUAGAAAUAAAAUAGAUAUAUUUUUAACUAUAUAUAUAUAUAUAUAUAUAUAUAUAUAUAUUCUAAUAAUUAUAAAAGACAUGCAAAUACUUUUUAAGAACCAUAAGACUUAGACAAGAAGUGUUUUAAAUUCUUUCUAGACAUAGAUUGCCUUAAUAAACAUGCGGAUUUACAAAAAUAUAUAUAUAUAUAUAUAUAUAUAUAUAAAUUCAUAUAAUUUUAUAAUAAUUCUAUUGAUACAUACAAUUUAAAUUUUAUUUAUAAAGUUUUACACUGUUCUACAAAAAGAUGUUACUUAUUUGAUUUAUAUCUACUAACUUCUAAUUAUUUCUAUUUAUUUUAAUAAUAUUAAUUACAAAGUUACUAUUGAGUUGGAUUUAAUUAGAAAAAAUUAUAAUAAACUAUAGUAUAUCAAAUUUAUCUUUUGUAAAUUAUUCUGGAGAUAUUGAUAAAUACAAAAUAAAAUAUAUAAUUAAUUUAAUAAUGAUGAUAAUAAUAAUAAUAAUAAUAAUAUAUUUAUUUACCAAGCUAAGUUUUAUAUUUAUUAAGACCUAAUUUGGUAAUAUACUAAAAAUUAGAUUAUAAUUUUAAAUGGAUUCAACACUAAAUAGUUGAAUUUUAUAAUGCAAGAUAUACUAGUAUCCAAAACAUUUUAUGUGUUACACAUGUACAUUGUAAUUUGUGUCAGCAACUCAAGUUCUUAGAUUCAUUAUCUUCAAAAAAACAGUGUAUUCGUUAAUUUUGAUAUAAUCAUAAAUAAUUUUAAAAAAAAAUUCACGUAUUUUUAGUUCAAUACUGGAUAUUAUUACAGAAAUACUAAUUAUUUUAAUUAGUUUUCAGUUAUAAAUUUUUAAUUUUUAAUAUGUAUAUUGUGAAAAAUAAAGUUUAUAAUUUUAUCCUUAUUAAAUUAAUUAAUUUAGCCAAUUUUUAAAUUAAUAUGACCAACAGCUCAUAGCAUCUAAUAUAUAUAUAUAUAUAUAUAUAUAUAUAUAUGUAUAUCAAUUUUGUGUAUUCUAAAAGAUAAGAAUAAAAUAUUGUAAUAAUUUCAAUUAAAAAACCUACUUUCUAGGGAGAAAUUUGAAUUACAUAAAUAAUUUUCAGAUAUAUGCAAAAAAAAUUGAAAAAAAUAUAAAAAAUAAAUUAAAAUCAUAAGACUCAAAUAUAAUUUUUAUUUUUUUCAAAAAUAUACAAUUAAUAUAUAUAUAUAUAUAUAUAUAUAUAUAUAUAUGUAUUCAAGUAUGUAAUUGGUAUUUUUUAUAUAGAGAGAUUAGUUAAUGAUAUCAUUCUAUCUUCAAUUACAAUAUAGUUUCUUUUCUAAAGUUUUUUUAAAUAUUACAAAUAGAUACAUAUAUAUUUUUUAAAUAUUAGAUUUUAAUAGUGUACAAGAUUUUCUUUUACAUAGAAAUAAUAAUUUUUUAUAAGAGUAUAGCAUAAGAUACUUAAAAUAAUAAAAUCUAAUACACAUUAUAUAUAUUAUAAGUAGUUUUAAUAUUUUAUUAUAUAAAGUAAAUAAAUUGAAGUUGAUUUUCUUGUACAUGAUUUUCUCUAGAAACUUAUUUGAUAGUAUAUACCUUAAUAUAUUCAUGAAAUGAAAUAUUUUAAUUUUUAACAAAUUUACAUAAAACUAGUUUCAAGGGUUUAAAUUUAUUUUCAUUUUAAAUUUAAAAUAUAAUAAAUGAUUUGAAUUAUAUGUGUUCACUUAUAGAUAUUGAUUGUUUUUAAAGUCUUUCAUGCAUAUGUAUGUUAAGAAGUUAUUUGAAUCGUGUUAAAAUUAUUUUGAGUUUUUUAAUAUUUUAAAUUAUAUAAAAUUUUAAUAAUUUUCAAAGAUUUAACUUUUUUAAAUCAUUAAAAUUAAAAAGAAAAUAUUGCAUGCUAUUGUUGAAUUAAAAGUAAACUUUAAAUUAUUUUAAAACAUCUUAUCAAUUAUUGGUCCUAAGUUUGAUUUCAUAACUUUAAAUUACAUUUGAGUAAAAUAAUCAAAGAAAAGACUAUCUUUAUAACUAUUAAAUUCUUUCUAUUUAUCUAAAGUGAUAAAUUAUAGAAUGGUAUUUUUAUUGUAUUGAAAAGAAUCAAUAAUCUCAGUUUGAAUUCUAUCUUUGUUACAAUAUUAUUAGUGAUAGAAAUAGUUUAAAUAUUAUAAAACAUUUAUCAAAACAAGAUCAUGAUUCUAAAAUAUUUGUGGUUAUUACAUUCAUUAGGAUUCAUACUUAAUUUUGAAAAAUUGUUGAAAACAUAACAAAUGCUUGUAUUAAUAAUAUGUAUAAUAAGAUUAUUAAAAAGAGAAGUUGGUUUCUAAAUAAACCUUAAAGAAUAUUACAACUAGUGGAAAAUGUAUAUAUAUAUAUAUAUAUAUAUAUAUAUAUGAAAUUAAUGAUUGUAUUUUCUAAUGAAGAUUAGAUAUCUUUAAAAAUACAACUAAUAUUCACCUAAAUAUUAUUUUUGAUAUAUAGUUAAAUACACAUAAAAUAAAUGAAUAAAAACAUAACAAAUUUUUAGAUCAAUAUAAGAAAAUAUUAGAGAUAGAAACCAUUUUUUAAUUUUUAGUUUUAUUAUUUUUAAUAUAUAUAUAUAUAUAUAUAUAUUAUUUUUAAUAGAUAUAUAUAUAUAUAUAUAUAUAUUUAAAUAUUCCUUUUAAGUUUCCUAAAUUCAACUCUUGUGAAAAAUCUCUUAUAAACACUACAAAAACAUUAGAAUUAUGGAGUCAUUACUUUGAAUUGCAAUAUUUUUAAAUUUUAAAUUGAACUAAAUUUAACUUCAUAAUUAUUCAAAUUUUGUCAAACCUCUAAAACAAAAAAUAAUAAUAUAAAAAUUGUAGAAAUAAAUCAUAUUCACAUGCGUCAUAGUAAAGACCAUUCAAGAACCUUACUUGAUUGAUUUGAAUACAAUUACACUGAAAUGUUUGUUACAAUAAAUAUACCAUCUUAGUCUUUGUCUUAACAAUUAAACUCUGUUGAUAUUAUUGAUUAUACAAGACAUACUCUCCAAAAUACGACGCCAAAAAGUCUAAACUAAUCGGAGGUGUGUAUGAAAAACCUGUAAUGAGAGCUUCAACUGGCACCUCAAUACAUGCAACCCAUGCGCUGCAAAUUGUAAGAAUGUUCAAACAAAUAGACAACCUUCAGUUUAUCAUAAGUUUCCAUUCGAGGUUUUGAACAAUUGGAUUGCAAAUUCUCCGGACUUCAUUGCACUGCCGUCAUGAGUAAAUCCGUAGCUCCAAAGUCUGCUCCAUCUUUCCACAUUGUUCAGACUGAAUGAUUUCAUGUAAAAAGUUCUCUAUCUUCCCUUCUCUUCGUCUUGCAACUUAAACAGAGUUGCAAUUUUAGAUUCGAAGCAAAGUGUUGAAAUUUACAAAUCAACUGACCCCUUCAAUACCAAACCAGUGUAACAUGAUACUUUGAACACCCACUUUGAAAUGCCACUCUCGAAUAGAACUACCACAAAAAUACCGUUCUACAAACUACUCACAUCAGUUUUCUUUACCUGUAAGGUCGGAUGAAAUGAGCAAGACAAAACGAACUUAGCUUCUUCCAGUUUGUCACGGUCACUCUGAGCUUUGCAAAAACAGUGUCUUUUGUUUUUUGGUAUGCGCUAAAUAAUGGUCGUUUAAGAAGAAAGCUCGUUGUAUUCCCCCUGCAUCGAGUAACAUCACGAGGAGCAUCAGAAUAUAUCAAUAUGAUCACUUUCUCGAACAUAGACUUGGUGAAUUAUGUUGGUCGUGACCCGCUUCAAGCUCCGACAACAAAUAGAUUUCAUCUGCAACUCGCGUGCAUGACGUUGAUUAUUGCUGCAUAACGCCUCCUUUUCACUAAGUAAUAUUAAUUGAUUACUGAGAAUGUCUUGAGCCCAUCAGACGGCACUGUAAUCACUUCAUGACUUCGUGAUCUUCAUCAUGGUACAUAAUAAGAAAUCCAAGGAGAAGAGACUAGGGCUUUGUGGGAAGAUGCAACACAAUUUUAGAAUGCCGAUGUACUGCAACACUGGAAGAAGUGAAUUUAGUCUCUCGUAUUCUGUGGUUUAUAGGUCAGUCUUAGCAGCAACGGGCAUCGAAACAGGAGCAUCAUAAGCUCAUUGCUUCUCUGCCACCGACUGUGUCAUUUGGAUGCCUCACAUGAGCAUUAAUUUAGAUAAUCAGGAAGACGUCUUGAAAUGCUUGUCGAUGAUCAUAUUCACACUAGCUAUGAUUCUACAGAAGUGGCAAUCUCCAAAGCAAGUCCACAUGGUUGUUACUGAGAGAUAGAAUGCUUUCCAAAACCGCAACGGUGAAUGACCCGUAUAUUCAGAACCUACGUUUCCAUUCACAUUCUGAUGCUCUGAUUGGAACUUUGCCAAGGUGACGAUCAAUUUCUUGAGUGGUGUUCUUUUUGUUUCUUAUUACCCGGUCCUUGCAGCAGGAAUUGCUAUAUGGUGUGGCGUCAGUUUCCUGCUCAUCCCCAGCAACCACCCGAUAUCCUCAAACACACUCAAUCAGCCGUCAUUUGUACAGUGGGUGCUCCGAAAUUUUCAAUCUACGCUAACUCAGAUAAAUAAAUAAAAAAAACUAACCGCUGAGAUGCAAAAGACGAAUACCCUCCGAUGGACACCAAAUUAAGGAGCUCGUACUUGUCAAAAACCUUUGGAACAGAAUUCCCAGUUAAACCUGCUCCUGAAGUUACCCAUCGAUCCCAGCCCAUACUUCACAACGCUCCUGACCUGGCACUCACGGAAGUUUGAGCACAAUAGGGUACUAAAAUUGAAAUUUGUCUACAUAGAGAAUGCAAAGCAUCCGUCAAGAAGAUACAAAAUGCGAAUUCUGUAUCCAGACCGCAACACUAUUUAUACACCCUUUCAGUGACCCAGAACUGCGAGCAUGUAGAGGGUAUUUGAUAGAAUUGCAGUAGUAUAACGUUCCAAGAUUUCAUACCCUUCUCAACCUAUCAUACAAUGCUGGGUACAGUCUUCUCGGCAGUGAGCGUGGAGCUCAUUCAUGUGCUUAAAACUAACGCACCACCUUUCUAAGACGAACACUACUACUUCACACCUUCAGGAAUGAACCAUUGUUUCCCAACCGAGAAGACGGACACGAGCAAGGUUCAAUCCGAUAACUCAAGGAAUUAUUUUGCCCCCUCUCUUUCACGGCAGUGAGCACAACAUGAGAGAGGAAUGAAAGAGAAACGACGGCGCAUCCGAUCUGCACAUAGUGGUUUGAUUGAUCGUUUUUUAAUAAUAGGGGUUUCAAACAUGGCACUUUUGCAAAACAAAAUAAUUGGGAUUCAGCACCCGUUGUUUCCAGGAUCACUCAAAAUAUGUAAUCCAAAAUAUCACUGUUCAAUCUUUACUACCCCUUGAUAUUACCUUUGAUUCAAGAAAACUGAGGCAAGCAACAUGGUUUUUGAUAUUCGACCUAUUCCUCUUUUGAUAUUUCAAUUUCAAAAUCACCCAUGUUGCAAGGUGGGUGCUUUAGUGAAGUAUCAAGUGAUAUUUUGAAAUAUCACAAGAUACUUCAAGCUUGCAUCAAGGUUGAAAUAUCAUCCGAAAAAAACCAUGUUUAAAACUCCCUGAUGUUAAUGAGAAUAAUAUUAACAAAUAACCUCACUUUCACCUCUUAAAUACAUUUGCAAACCAACCUUCAGUAAGUUUACAUUAUUAUACAUAUGGUGUGUUAAUCCUCUAAACUCCAAAGAAUCAUGAACAAGAGUGACAUCACACAUUCAUUGUGAAAUAAAUUGAACGAAAUUGAAAGAAAAUCCCAUAAAAAAUGACGUAUACAUUAAUAAACAAACACCUUAGUUGGCUAUAUCUCAGUCAGAUUAUUCAAAAUAGCUUAAAUUGGAUUGAGAAUAUACCAAUUAUAAGCAACAACAAAAUUAGAUAUUGUUGUUAUUUUUGAAGUUAUUUCCAUCAGCACAUGUCGAAAAUAUUAAUAGCAAUGCCCAUAGGAUGGCAUGUCCAACACAUUAGUUAACAAUAGUGUUUUAUUCUUAAAACAUUCAUCACACCACAAUUUUUAUUAGCAUCCAUAAGCCACUACACAGAAUCUAACUAACAGUAAACAUAUAUUUCGAAAUAGUAAUGUGUAAACAAUUCCACCUUCAGAACAUGCAAAAACAAUACAAACUCAGUAAUAGUUGCAUGACAGCUGUCGGUAUCUAAAACCCCCCUUUCCUCGCUCUUUCCUUUCGGGCCUUCGUUUGGGGAAAACCAAUUUUCCUUUUCUUUUUCCCUUUCCGAGAAAGGCACCGAUGGCGUGUGACGUGGCCACCUUGCUUAUCGCUCCUGCCAAAGAUGCCACGCGGGACCACUCCACGUGGAACUUAUGACGUGGAUAAUGAUGUGGUCGUCCAACUAGGAUAACUUGGCGACGUGGAUGCCAGCACAGCACAGGACAACCAUAAACUUUCUUUAAUUACCCGGAUUAGUGGGCCAGCCUAGUUACUUUUAAAAAGUCGCCGUUCACACGGGAAGCGCCGGUGGGGACCAGCCACACCGGACCCGACUCAACCCGACCCGAGUCGGCCCCGCAUUGUUAAGCGUGCAACGUUAAGGGUAUCAAUCAAUGAGUCAAACAUCUCCCCGGAUACGCGAUGAUCACAAGCUUUGGAUGGACUGGACCACAAGAGCUCUGAGAUGUACAUAGAGCAUUAAAGAGCAUUCAAGUGCAUUAGAGUGAUGCUGUCUGAAUAUUCGUUGUUGAGGGAGUGUGUUGUUUAAACCACAAUUUGAUGAAUGACGGUAGAAAUUAUGGAAUGAAUGAAAUAUAUCAUAUAAAUAUGUGUGUGUGUGUGUGUGUGUUUAUUUUAAUAGUAGUUUAUAUUUAAUCUCUAGUGUUACAUUAUUGUGGCAUAAACUAUGACGAGAAAUGUGGUUUGUUGGACAGUCACAUAAACAAUAAUAUCCUGACACGAAUACAUCAAUUGUUGACAAUUAGGUAUGAACUAUGCCCAUCUACCAAGAAAAUUAAAGAAUACAAAAUAGGUGAACUUAAACGUAGAUAUAAUUUUGAACAAAUUGUAUGCAUGUAUGUAUGUGUGUGUGUACGUGUAUGUAUAUAUUGAUAAUAAAAAAUUAAGAACCUUAAUGUAUCACCACGUAUAAUUUAGGGCAUGGGUAUUAUGGUACCCAGUUCCAAACACUUUAAGAUUGUAACCCUUGGGAAUACAACUAAAUACUUGUGCAUAAGUUCCCAAGUUGAAUUCCCACCCUCAUGGUUAGAAAGAGCCUUAAAAGUUAUCAAAAUAUUGGGGGUUGUUGGGGAGCACCAAAAUAAUUUUUGGUGAUGAUAAGUUACCCAUUCUAAUUUCAAUGUAAAUUAUUUAUAUUUGCAAAUAAUUAAUGUGUACAUAAAGUGUUCUCUCUUAGCAUCCAUAAGCACCCUUUUUUCUAGUUACUAAAAUUUUUAGUUUUAUCUGUGUAUACAUAUGUACACACAUAAGUAUGUGAACUUAAAUGUUUUGAUAAUAUUAUUUUUAGGCAACAGCUUAGCAAAAGAAUUUGUUCACAAAGUUCUUAUUUUGAAAUAAUACAUCAAAAAACUUGCAAUCAAAGGAACCACAAUAUUGAAAACCUUUUCUUCUUUUUUUUGUUCAAAUUCUCUCUAAAAUUCAAUAGAACCACUAAUGUUUCCAUUCAAAAUUUGAAGCACUUCCUAUCAAGGGGUUUCAAACAUGGCACUUUUGCAAAACCAAAUAAUUGGGGUUCAACACCUAAUAUUUCUAUGAUAAUUCAAAAUAUCAGAUCCAAAAUAUCACAAUUCAAGCUUUAUUGUCCCUAAUAUUACCUCCUGAUUCAAACUUUAAUACUCCUUGAUAUGGAGUCAAAGAGGGAAGAAAGUUGAAGCAAACAAUGCAGUUUUUUAUAUUUGACUAUAUUUGACCAUCCCCUCAUUUGAUAUAUCAAUUUCAGAAUCACCCACUUCACAAGGUGGGUGAUUUGGUGAAAUAUCAAAUAAUACUCUAAAAUAUCACAAGAUAUUUUGAGCUUGCAUCACGGGUGAAAUGUCACCCAAAAAUGCCAUGUUUGAAACCUCUUAAUAAAAAUUUCUGUAAAAUGCACUUUUGAGCAAGUCUAGUUGUUCUGACUAAAAAUUCAGUAAACCACUUAGUACUUACAAACAGUUAACCUGGAAUGUCUGCAGUCCUAUCUUUGUGAAAUAAACAAGUCAACAACUGUAAACUAUUUUUUAUUAUAAAAUUUUUGGUAUUCAUUUAUUUUUAUCUGGAGUUCUUUGUUUUGCAUUUGGAGCUUUCCAUGUAACAGGCUUAUUUGGCACUGGUAUUUGGGUAUCCGAUCCUUAUGGAUUAACUGGAAAAGUACAACCUGUUGUUCCAGCUUGGGGAGCUGAAGGUUUUGACCCUUUUGUUCCAGGAGGGAUAGCUUCUCACCAUAUUGCAGCAGGUAUUUUAGGUAUACUAGCUGGUUUAUUCCAUCUUAGUGUUCGUCCUCCUCAACGAUUAUAUAAAGGAUUACGUAUGGGGAAUGUUGAAACUGUUUUAUCUAGUAGUAUUGCUGCUGUAUUUUUUGCUGCUUUUGUUGUUGCUGGAACUAUGUGGUACGGUUCUGCUGCAACUCCAGUAGAAUUAUUUGGCCCUACUCGUUAUCAAUGGGAUCAAGGUUUUUUUCAACAAGAAAUCGAUCGUCGAAUUCGUGCUAGUAAAAGCGAAAAUUUAAGUUUGUCAGAAGCUUGGUCUAAAAUUCCAGAAAAAUUAGCUUUUUAUGAUUACAUUGGUAAUAAUCCAGCUAAAGGUGGAUUAUUUAGAGAGGGUGCUAUGGAUAAUGGAGAUGGAAUAGCUGUUGGAUGGUUAGGUCAUGCUGUUUUUCUCACUAUAAUAAAAUCUAUGGAAGCAUUGGUUUAUACAUUUUUAUUGGUAGGUACUUUAGGAAUAAUCUUUUUUGCUAUUUUUUUUCGUGAACCACCUAAACUUCAAACUAAAGAAAAAAAAUAAUUUUUUAUUUUGAUAAAAAAUUACGAACCUUCCCUUUUUAUUUUAGGGAAGGUUUUUAAUAAUUAAUUUAAUCUUCAUGCUCUUCAAAAGGAUCUCUAAGUUCUUUAGAGGGUUGCCCAAAAGCUGUAUAAAGAGCAUAGCCAGUAAAACUUACGAGUGAACACGAUAUAAAUAUAGCGACUAAUGUUGCAGUUUCCAUUUUUAAGUAGUUCCAAAAGAAUGGUUUAUUUUUAAUUAAUAUAAUAGUACACAAAGUUAACAAAUCUCAACUAAUGCAAUAAAAUUUUAUGGCUACACAAAUUAUUGAUGAUACUCCUAAAACAAAAGGAAAAAGAAGUGGUUUAGGAGAUAUAUUAAAACCACUUAAUUCAGAAUAUGGUAAAGUUGCUCCUGGAUGGGGUACAACACCUUUAAUGGGUGUUGCAAUGGGAUUAUUUGCUGUUUUUUUAGUUAUUAUUCUUGAACUUUAUAAUUCUUCCGUAUUAUUAGAUGGAGUUCCUGUAAGUUGGUAAUAACUUAAAAAGGUUCAAUAAAAAAGUUUAAACUUUUUUAUUGAACCUUUUUAAGUUAUUACCAACUUUAUUUAUUUACUAAAGGUAGUUUAAUCGUGUAAUCAAUUAAUUAAAGGAUUUAUGGAUUAUGGGUGUGCGACUUGGUUAGAUAAAUGAAAUUUAAAAAAGACAAAAUAAUUUGUUAAUCUUAAAAAAAAGAUAUUUUAUUUUAUUAAAUGUUAAUAAAUUUAAUAUUUAAAGCAUAAAUUUCAAUUAAAAUAUUAGCAAUUUUUUUUUAAUUUAAACUAUGAUUAAUUUUUUUAAUUUACUAUUUAAAUUUCGUUACCAAAUUUAAGUGUUUUUACUCUUUAAAAGUUUAUAAUGAUUUUAAAAAUUAUUUACCUAUUAUAAUUUUUUUUUAGUCAUCGGAAUAUAGUAAAAAUCUAAAGUUUAAUUAUUUUUAAUAAAUUUUAAACAAGAAAAUCUUUAAAAAAAAAUUAUUCAUUUUAAAGAAGAAGAUCGCUCAAAAAAGCAAUUAAUAUAAAAAGCUAACUUGAGAUAAAAUAUAAAAAAUAUAUAAAAAUUUCGAUUUAUAUAUAUAUACUUUUUUAUUUUUAAGCCGUAUGAAAAAAAAUUAUCAUUUACGGUUUGUAGAGAGGAAAUACAUAAAAGUUUGUCUAUCUCAAUAGAGUAUACGAUUGGUUUGAAGAACGUCUUGAAAUUCAAGCAAUUGCAGAUGAUAUUACUAGUAAAUAUGUCCACCACAUGUGAAUAUAUUCUAUUGUUUAGGAGGCAUCACCUUAACUUGUUUUUUAGUUCAAGUAGCAACUGGGUUUGCUAUGACUUUUUAUUAUCGUCCAACUGUUACUGAAGCUUUUGCAUCUGUUCAAUAUAUCAUGACUGAAGUUAAUUUUGGCUGGUUAAUUAGAUCAGUUCAUAGAUGGUCCGCGAGUAUGAUGGUUUAAUGAUGAUUUACACAUAUUUCGUGUUUAUCUUACAGGGGGUUUCAAAAAACCUCGUGAAUUAACUUGGGUUACUGGUGUUAUUUUAGCAGUAUUAACAGUUUCAUUCGGUGUAACUGGAUAUUCUUUACCUUGGGAUCAAAUUGGUUAUUGGGCUGUUAAAAUUGUAACAGGUGUACCUGAAGCUAUUCCUGUUAUAGGCUCACCUUUAGUAGAAAUAUUAAGAGGAAGUGUUAGUGUAGGUCAAUCUACAUUAACUCGAUUUUACAGUUUACAUACUUUUGUAUUACCACUUCUUACUGCAGUGUUUAUGUUAAUGCACUUUUUAAUGAUUCGUAAACAAGGUAUUUCAGGUCCUCUAUAAAUUAUUAGAAUAUAAUUUUUACUAAAUUUUGCUGACAUAAUAAAUUUUUAAUAGUAAAUUUUUACUAUUAAAUUUUUAUUAUGAACUAAAUUUAUUUAUUGCCAUAAAUUAUUUUUAGUUUAACGCUUAAAAAAAAUUUAUGGAUUUUCUGUAUUUUAUUUAAACAUUUAAAUAAAAUAUAUCUUUAUUUAAAAAAAAAUUUUAAUUAUGGGAGUGUGUGACUUGAAUUAAUUAUUGACUAUGUAGAUUUUUUAUUUAGUCUACCACAUUAAUUAUAAAAUUUAAAUGUGUUGUUAUCCUAAAUUAUUUUAAUAAAAAUAAAAAAACUUAGGUAAAUUUUUUUAAACAAAUUUUUUUCUAUGAUUUAUUUUCUAAAUAGGCUUCAUAAAAUUUAAUAAAUAAUUAAUAUAUGUAUAUCUGUAUUAUUUCUAUAUGAUAUAUAUUAAAAUAAUGUGAUAAAAAACAUCAUUCAUUUCCGUUGGGUUUUUUAAUAUAAAAAUCAUAGGAGUAAAAAAAAAAUCUAAGGAAAAAAAAAGUUAAUAUACUAACAAGUUAAGUUUAAAUAAGUACAAAAUUUUAUAGAUAAUAAAAAAACUUAUAAAAACUAAGACUAUCCAAAAUGCAUAUUAUAAUAAAUUAAUUAUAAAAAAAUUUCAAAAAAGCAUACUUGGAUUUUGAACUUUUUUAAAUAAAUAAAAUUUAAAUAAAAAUAGUUUGAGUUGGAUGAAUAAAAAAUUCAUGUCCAAUUCUUUAAGGGGAAUAUUUUUUAAAUAGCCUAUCUUAAUAACAAAAAAACCUGAUUUAAGUGACCCUGUUUUACGAGCUAAAUUAGCUAAAGGUAUGGGUCAUAACUAUUAUGGAGAACCUGCUUGGCCUAAUGAUCUUUUAUAUAUUUUUCCAGUUGUUAUUUUAGGUACUAUUGCAUGUACUGUAGGCUUAGCUGUUUUAGAGCCUUCUAUGAUUGGUGAACCAGCAAAUCCUUUUGCAACUCCUUUGGAAAUUUUACCUGAAUGGUACUUUUUUCCAGUUUUUCAAAUACUUCGCACAGUUCCUAAUAAAUUAUUAGGUGUUCUUUUAAUGGCUGCAGUACCUGCAGGCUUAUUAACAGUACCUUUUUUGGAAAAUGUAAAUAAGUUUCAAAAUCCUUUCCGUCGUCCAGUAGCAACAACUGUUUUUUUAAUUGGUACUGUAGUAUCUAUUUGGUUAGGUAUUGGAGCAGCUUUACCUAUUGAUAUAUCAUUAACUUUAGGGCUUUUUUAAUAUUAGACUAAUCUAAUAGAUUCUUUUUUUUAUUAAUUAAUUAGAGUAUUUACUUCAAAGUAAAUACUCUAAUUAAUUAAUAAAAAAUAAUUUUUUUAAAUUUAAUUUAGUUAUUUUUUUAUUUAUUAAAAAAAAAUAGAAAAAGACUUGAUUAAAAAAAAUUUAAGUAAUAUAAUCAUAAAGUGAUUAUAUUAAUUUGUUUAACUAAUAAAAAUUUAUUAAAUAUUAAUUUUUUUUUUUAUAUUUUUUUAAACAAAAAACGGCGACAUGGCCAAGUGGUAAGGCAGAGGAUUGCAAAUCCUUUACCCCCAGUUCGAAUCUGGGUGUCGCCUAAAAAAGUAAAUUUAUUAAAAAGAGUUGGAUUAACUACUAUGUCAUGUUUUAAAUAAAAACUGUAUUGCUCUAUAAUUUACUUUAGCCUAGUACUUUUUUUUUAUUUAAACGCAUUAUUAAUAGAUAAUCCUAACAUUAAGAAUAAAUCAAAUAAAUAAAAAAAGCAAGUCUUUUAAUAUUUACAUACUAACUAUUUAUCUAUAUUUCUUAUAAUAAAAGAAUAUGAUAUAUAUAUAUGUAUGUAUAGUCUUUUUUUUGUUAUAAAUACAAAAACAUUAUAAAAAAAUAAUUUUUUAUUUAUUUUUCUUAUAAGUAUUAUUUAUAAUUAAUUUUUAUUUUAACAUUUAUAAAAACAUAUGGAUAUAGUUAAUAUUGCUUGGGGUGCUUUAAUGGUAAUGUUUACAUUUUCUCUUUCACUUGUCGUUUGGGGAAGAAGCGGAUUAUAAAAAUUAGAUUUAAAAUUUAAUGUUUUUUUUAUUUUUAUAUUUUUUUUAUUAAAUAUAAAAAUAAAAAAAAGCAUUAAACUAAUUAGAUUAUACUUUUACUAUUUAAUAAAUUAAUUUGUAUAAGAAAUAAAAAAAGUAUAAUCAAUUUUUUCCCACCCUUUAUAAAAUUUUUUUUUUAAUUUUAUUUUUUGAUAAUUUUUAUUUUUCUUUAAGUUUUUUUUUUGUGAAAUAAAAUAAUUAUUAUUUUUUUUAGAAAAAAUAGUAAAAUUUAAUUUAUUAUUCCGUAAGUAUAACUUUCUACUAUAAAAAAAAUGGCAGUUCCACUUAAAAGUAUUUGUGAUAAUAAAAGAAUUGGAUCUAAUCGCCAACCUUGAAAAAUAAGAAUCCCUCCACAUAAUAAUCCAAUUGAUGAAAAAAAUGAAUCAUAAUAUUAAGAUAGGUUAAUGUUUUUAUUUAUAGACAUGACCCUCUUAAAAACCAUACAUGAUAUUUUAAUUUCUUUAUGGCUUAAACAUUAAAAUGAAAAAAAAACCUUAUAAAAUUUAAAUGUUCUAAAUCCAAGUAAGUUUAAAAAGAAUUUUGAAAAAAAAAACUUUUUGGAUUGUCUUUUCUUGUUUGAUUUUAUUUUUACAACAAGUUUAUUUUAUUUAUACUUAAAUUUAUUUAACAUUAUCCUUAGGCUCAUUUUAUAUUUCAUGGAUUUAAUUAUUUUUAUUUCUAAAGAUAUAAAAAUAAAAUUAAAUAAAAAAAAAUAAAUUAUUUUUAGUUGUUAUUUAAUUAAAGUUCCAAUUUUCUUUAAUUUAAAAUUUAAGCAUGUUUUCGAAAUAAUGUUUUAAUUAUGUUCAAUUUUUAGCCAUAGAUUUUUUGAUAUAAUUUUAAAUUUUAUUUCAAGUUUUCUAUUUAUUAUUUAUUGUUAAUUUUGUUAAAUAGAAAUAAUAGAAUUAGCAAAAAAGCUGUUUGUACAUAAAGAAUUAGCAAAAAAGCUGUGGGGAUUAAAAUGAACAAUGCAGUAGCAAUAAAUGCAAGAAUAUUUACUUCCAUAUGUUUAUUAUAUUAAUGUUUAGUUUACAAUACUAAAAAAUAUCAUCUGAUUUUAUUUAUAAAUUUUUUAUUAUCAGUUUAAUUAUAAAAUUAAGCAGUUUAAUCAAAAUAUUUGAAAUCAAAAGAAUAUGAUUUUAUUUUUUUGAGUUUACAGGUUUAGGGUUUAUGUAAAUUUACACGUUUUUAUAAUAAAUUUGAAUUUAAAACAUAAUGAAACUAGAUAUCAUAUGUACGUUUUUUCAAUGAAAAUUUGCACUAGACUAUCAGUUCUUUGUGUAAAAUAAUGCAAAUUUUGAUUGUGAUUAUUUAUCCAAAACUAGUGAAUUCUUUUGUAUUUAGUAUUUAAUGUGCAUUUCACGUUGUUCUACAAUUCAUAUUCAAAACUUAGCAAUGAUUAUAAUUGGUAGUAUAUUGUGGCUGUAAAUGUAAAAUAAUUGCUAACAGAGAACGUAUGCAAAAAAAACAUGUACAUUGUUCGUCUGGACUUGUACAAGCACCGAUUUUAUAAUAAUAAAAAAUGUAGUUAUUUUAAUUCUUAAUUCUACUUUAAUAUAAUAAAAAUUAUCUAAAUUUGCUUCCAAUGUUCUAUGCCUACAGAAAAUUAUGUUGUUCUUUUUUGAGCAGAUCCAGGAUGGGAAACAUGAUAAAUACUUCAUCUAAUUGAUCUACUAACACAAGUGUGGCAUCUCAGAGAUAUCACAUGUAGAGGCUUAUAAAUAAUAUUAAAAGAAUUAAUCUUACAUAGAAGGCAAAAAUCUUCAUAUGUAUCAUCGUCAUUAUGAUUAAAAUGUUGCUUUUAACUAUUAUAGUAAAACCUUUAAAAAAUCAAAAUUGUAUAUGUAUGUAUAUAUAUAUAUAAAUAAACAGACACAUCAACACAAUUUCAUGAAAUUGCACUGAAUUGUAUAGUUGAGUUACUAUUGUAAAAAUGUGAUAAACAACCAAUUACUUCUGCAAUUGUCAGUGUUAUGUUCAAGGAAGUGAUAAUCAGUUCAAGAUUUUAAAGACAAUAAUAAUUUGAAGAUCUCACGAACACUUUCCUCUUCAGGAUAAAAAUAAAUAUGAAUCAUUAAAAACCAGAAGCAGGUAGUGCAUAAUAAUUUUACAUUUAAAGAAAACGUUUAACAAAAAAACUACAUUAUUGCUUUAAAAGUAAUAUAUUCUGUUUUUUAGUCAUCUUCUUUUUGUAUACAAUAAUGCAUGUGAUGGUUUUUGGGGGUUUUGUUAUUACUAUUGUAUUUGAAUAGGCACAAAGAAACAUAUUUGUUAUUACAGAUAUUGAUUCACUGUAUUUAAUUUUAUUUAAAGAAAAUAACAGUAACAAUGGUUGAUAUAUAUAUAUAUAUAUACAUAAACAGAACUGGCUGUUGUAAUGAAUAAUGAUCUUGGUUUGCAGAAUUUUAAAAUUUAUUUGGGUGUUUUGCCACAAAAUUGAACAAGUUUGAUUUUCAAGCUAAGAUCAUUUUAAAAUAGUAAGAAAAUGACCAUCGCAGGGGAACCUUAUCAACUUUUAAUUGAAAGGAUCUCAUGAAAUUGAGGAUUUUACUAAACAAAAAUGUAAUGAUAGGUGAAGAAUAUCCUCAACAUUCAUUUGUUUGUUUAUUCAAUGUUUUACAAUAAAUGAAAUUAAUAUGCUACACUAUAAUUCCUUAAACGCACACUAUAAACGAUUAAGAUAUUAUCUAUAGAAAUGCAUUAUUUGGACACACCUUUCAUUAUUUAGCCUUUCAUAGACGAAUAGAGCACGAGGACAAUUAAAUGGAUGAAUGAAAAUACAUAUAUGGAUGAUAAAAGAUGGAUGAAAUACCAGGGUGGCAGAAAAUGAUUUCCCGCGCACACGCGGGAAAGGAACUUGCGAUGAAGGAACGGAAAGUCAACUUCAAUGGAACACACGACGAGGCCACACGGCACUCCAAGACCUCCACGUCAUUCAUCCAUUCGCUUUAGUGGUAAAGCUUGAUUAUGGUCACACUGUUGAAAAACGUUCACGAAAGUAAAAAGUAUGAAAAAGUAUAUAAAAAGAUGUUACUUUUAGAAGAUAGAUUCGGUUUCAAACCCUACUUUGAUUGCCAUGUAGGGUUUGAAACCGAAACUAUCUUCUAAAAGAUUUUGGUAUUCAAUUCGCACAAUUGUAUUCUUAUCCUCACUAGCAAUGGGGACGAAUCAACAUGUUGUAUGCUUACAAUUCUUUAAACGUCAAAAAGCAUGACACAAUGCAAAAAGAUGACAAGUAGUAGUAAAAUAUUAUUUCUAAACGUGCCUGUGGAUGUUGUUCGAUAAAUAUUAAAAGAAAUAAACUACACCAUGUUGUUGUUUAAUAAAAAUGAUAUACUUUUGUUUUGAUAAGAAUGGAAGAUUCGAAACUUGUUUUUUACGUGCACUUUUAUGUUCACAACGUGGAGCCAGAGAAAAUAUGUUUUGUGGCUGUUAGCAAUGAAGGUACUCAUUUUGAAAACAUUUUUUAAAAAUACUACUUGCACAGGAAAUAUUGAUUUUAUGAUUUCAACAUUGAAUUCUGUAGAAAUUUACAAAAGCAAAAAAAUGAAAAUGUCAGAACAAGAUUUGAAUAAUUUUAUUCAUUUAACUCAGUCAUACCUCUCGUGGUUGCUUAGGGUUUCAUGUGGGCAAUAUUCAAACAUAAAAAUGAACUAACAUUAUUUUUGAAUUUGCUAUCGUGUAUUAUAACAUGGUCACGUUGCUGUAUAUGGGAUAAAAAUGCACAAUUUCUAUAAUUGUCUUAGCAUGUUACAACAUAAUCUAGUCCUGUAUUUUAAUUUAAUAUAUUAAAUCAUUACAAAUUCAAAUCAGUAAAAAAGUAAAAUAAAGACAUACUUAACUUAUCAAAAAAACUAAUUGAAGGUAAAAGACGUACAAAUACUCCUGCAAAAUAAACCGAACAAUUUCGAUAUUAUGGGGUAAACAAUAGUUACAAAAGAAGAGAUACGAAUAUACACGAACGUACACACCCAGAUGGAGGAUCGCAUACGUACAAGUUCGUAUAAAUACGACACAUAUCACACACUCUCUGGGCCCGAAAGGAGCGAAAUCGAGCCCUCCACGUCAAACACUGCGCGCCAAAAGAGGAGACGGAUGGGGAGAGUGAGCUGUCAAGGAUCGGACGGAGAAACGGAACCAGGGCAGAUCGGACGGUUUAGAGAGGGGGCAAGGGGAGCGGGACUAGGGCUUGGCCCGUCCAGCUAGGAUGGGAUGAGGGGGGACGGGUAUGGGGGCUCUCCACCGUGGUCAGCGUCACAUCAGCGCCAUUUUGCCUUGUAGGACCAGCAAACUGGUGAUGGUGUGCUGCCCCUCGCGAGAUAGUUUUCGUGGCACAGACAAGUCGACGGAAACCAAACAGGACGGAAGAGACGGCAAGUCGUCGACGACGUCGACGGAGUUUGUGAAACGUUCAUGCAGGUGACGCACGGAGCGAAGCCGCUGCGCCACGCUUCCCGUCGGUGAGUGACUCGACUGACGCAAAGCUUGCUUGGUUUGUUGCAUCCAUUGGUGAAGAGAGAGAGAGAGAGAGAGAGAGAGAGAGAGAUAUAGGGUGAGCGAUGGUGGUUCAGGGGCAGUAAGAGGGAUUUUGCAGACGGGAAAGGGAGGACGUGGAAGGUCCAUUUGUCUUUUUCCGUUCGGUGUCUCCUCCUUCUGCGGCUUGUCUGGCUUGCUUGGCUAGUUCGGGCCUCCAGCCGGUUCCACAUGGUCUCUCAGUAUUGCUGCCUUGGCACACUUCGUUGCCAUUUCAUCUCCCGACUCUGCCAACUCUGCAUACUCGGCAACGCGUAGGUAUGCAUGUGUGCCACUCGGGUCGAGUGUCAUGUUCAACCCUCCCCUCCUCUCAUGUUGCCAGAUCUUCGUUUGUCGGUGUAUAACCCUCGCUUGUCCUGUCGUCUUGAUGCUAUUGUAGUGAAUAUUGUCCGGGGGUGGGUAUUUGUUUUCGGCGGUGCUUUUGUUGCGCUGUUGGUAUUGGUAUGUUGUUGUGUGUAGUCCGUUUCGAUGAAGUGCUAGAUAUUUGUAGCAGCUGGUGUUUGUAACAAUAAGGUGUUGCUGCGGUUUAGCUACUACGAUCCCUACGUGUGGCAUGUGUACGAAGCACAUCCGCCGCUUGCACUGCGGCUUUAGAGCUUUCUUUGCACCGUUGUGUGCGCUCUUGAAAAAACAAUCGAUGAUGUGGUUUGGACGAAGAGGGUCCGCACAGACAGGGGACAAAUUAAAAAUCGUAUAGGGAUUAAUGUGCGAGGUGAAACUUAAGCAAGAUGGUGAAGUAGCCGCAAAACGGCGGGAUGGGAGUUCUCCCGCCAACAUCGAAGCCGAGCUUUCGCACACCAAGCGUGCGCGCAGAUGUAGUGCUCAUUUCUCCCUACCCUGCUGCCGAGCUUCUCUCAGAUGAUUCAUUCUUGAGCAGUGUAUCAUUUGUCUCUCAACCGCAGGUUACAGGCCUUGAUGUCAACGUCAUGACCCGAGGAGCUUCCUGACAGUCAGUUUCGCGAGUGAGUGUUUCACGAAUUCUGAGAACAAAAAUUCGGAGUCGGCCGAGGUCUGAAGACGCACACCAGUGAUGGGGGCAGCAGGGGAGACGGCAACAGCCCCACCCGCCGCCUCCAAGGGUCCGAAGACCAGCAGCGGUCCUCCCACAUCAGGUGCGACGACGUCCCCGACGCCCAUUGCGUCGCAUGACCCGAACGCGCAGGCAGGCGCGGCGGGGUACAAUGAAUGGUUGGCAGCGUUCCAGGCGUACUACCAGGCGGGAGCACAACCUCCCGCGGGAGGGUUUCCGCACCCCUACAUGUGGGGAGGGCAGCCCAUGAUGCCGCCUCCCUACGGGGGGCCGCACCCUUCUUACGGCGCCAUGUACCCUCCCGGAGGAAUGUAUGGGCACCCGAUGUACGGGCAGUACGGGACUCCGACGCCGGAUGGAAUGGCGGGCGCGGAGCAGGGCGCGGACGGGAAGGCGGAAGCGAAGGGGAGCGAUGGCGGUAAAGCGGCACCUUUGAAGAGAUCGAAGGGCAGCAAGAGCAGCCUGCAGCUACUGAAAGUGAGCGACAGUGGAGGCAAGGGGAACGGGGUGUCGCAGAGCGUGAGCAAUGGCGAGGAAGGAGAGCACGACGGCGAGACGGGGAGCGACGAGGGCGGUUCGACGGAUGCGAGCAGGGAGGAGAAUGCGCAGAACCUGUUGGGAGGGAAGCGGAGUUUCGAGCAGCUGGCGAUGGAAGCCGUGGGAGCUCCGGCUUACAUGGGCACUCCGGGCGGCGCAGCGGGGGUUCCAGGGGGUGCAGUGGGGACGCCAGGGCCAGGAGGAAGCUUGGACAUGAGCUUGGACUACUGGACUGCAGGGUCAGUGCCGCAGGCGAAGGGGGCAAUGCGGGCGUCCGGGAGCCCGUCGACGAGCGCUCCGCCAGCGGAGAUGUGGCUGACGGACGAGAGGGAGGUGAAGCGGCAGAGGAGGAAGCAGUCGAAUCGAGAGUCUGCGAGAAGAUCGAGAUUGAGAAAGCAAGCGGAGUGUGAGGAGCUGGGCAUGCGAGUUGACUCGCUGACUGUAGAGAACGUGUCCUUGCGGACGGAGUUAAGCCGGAUGACCGAGGAGUGCAAGAGGCUGCAGGCGGAAAACAGCAGCUUGAUGCACAAGGUGCGUGGCAUAUCAGGUGCGGAGAUGGGUGGUGCGGCGGGUUCCGGCGAUGUGGCCUCGGCAGGCGGAGACAACGAGGCAGUGGUGUCAGCAAAGGAGAUCGAGGAGUCUCAGAGCAACGGGAACGGGCACGCGACGAAAGCAAGAGACGAGAAGUCAGGCGGUAAGGGGAACGGGAGUGUCGAUGUAGGGGUGAUUGAUCGAUGGAUUGGUGGACCGGGGGUUUUGUAGGAUGUGGGGUGUGCAGUGUUGAUUGGGUGGUGGAAGCUGUGGAUAGUGUUGGCGGUGGGGACUGGUGAGGAGGGUGUGAGAGGAGAGCAUUGAGGCGUAGAGAAGCGUGAGGAAGUGUUGCGCAUUUGGUGGGUGAAAGCGCGCAGCGGGCGUGGGAAAGGACGAUGGGGUUGUGAAGGUUUGUUUAUAGUUUUGGGGUGGUGGUUGAGGCUGGAACGCAUGUGUUGGGGCGUUGGUGUUAUGGUGGCGGCGUGCAGACGCGGAGGGUGAGGGGGUUGUUGGGAUGGAAAGGUCGGACAGUGAUGGGGAGUGACGCGGUGCAUUGGGGUGGGGCGCAGGGGUGAAAGGUCAAGAGGAGGCGGGUGCGGCUGCAUAGGCGUGGAGACAUUGGGUGGGGGGCGGGGGUGAUAGGAAUCGAUUUUGGUAUUUUGGGUGGGUUAUGUAGGAAGCGGUGACGGAAAGAAGUGGUGACAACCCUGCACAAACAUUACAAUUCUUCAAGGGAUGGGCGCGUCCUGUUCAAGGGGUGGUUGGUGACUGGGAGUGGGUGAAGUGAAGAGAGAAUUUCACUGGUGCUGCGCUGGUCCAGCAUUCUUUGGGAGUAGCAGGGAACGCUCGGCUUGAUGUUUUUAGGAUAGUGGUAGUUGGUGCGAUUUUGUGGUGCCAUGCUUGAGUGACGGGAGUUGGCUGUGUACAUUUGGAUACUCUUUGAACAACGGUGGUUUCACUGAAAGUUGAGAGUGAACAUGGGUUGGAAAUUAUAUGCGAGCGUUAUUUGCAGGCACAUGAUUACUCAGUCUUCACAGUCAUGUGCUUUAUAUUGGGUUCAAUUCGGAUAUUAGCUUUAGGGGUUAGACACAUCCUUCUCAACAAUUUCUUUGUCCAGGUCAUUGCACUUCAGCAGUCGGCAUUUGUAUCUAUCAUUUCAUGGAUUGGGAAAUUACUUAUCGAUUUAUUUUCAUUAUUCAAUUUGUUUACCUCGCAUGUAUUGUGGUGGUUUUCUUUUAAUUAAGCUCUUUUAGAAUCAGUAGUUUGCUAUGAUGAGUUGGUUUAUUCUUUGAUUGCAACGCGUCUCUGAUCUCAAAUGGUCAUCUGUUCAUUAGGCAAGGAUCUAAUUGUUUUUAUUUUUGCUUUCUCCAUCGCGCAGCGAUUCAAUCUGAAUUAUUAGUAUGCAGGGGUUUGUUACAAGCUUUUUGAGAUACCUCUUUCAGUUCAUUGGACAAGAAAUUUAGAAGCUGAAGAUGACGAUGUUGAUUACCGUAAUUGUUCUGGUUUCUGUUUUUGAUGACACUUAACUUCGCAACUUUGCGGGUCUAAGGUUGUGUCACGUCCUUGUUGCAUAUCGGCCGUGAAUGUUGACUGCAGCGAGCAUUGAAAGAUCGUAUGGCACUAUGUGAUGCACCUGCUAUGCCUGGGUGUAACAUUGACCUACAUAUUCUGGCGCUGCGGGAUGUUUUAUAGCGUAUAGUGACUUUUUCAUAGCAGUCUUGAUACGUCGAGACUGUAACCUCCAUCAAGAUCACUGCAUGAUUUUCAGGCGUGAGGACAUGAUGGAUAAUUGGACUGCAGUUUAUUAUCUCUUGCACUUUUGCGAAGUUAAGUGUGAAACUAACCCUGACAAGCCUUCACCGAUGCUACGUCGACACUGGUCACAGCUUCGCUGAAUAUUUUGUGACGGGUUGAGAAAUGGAGUCUUUUUGUGAAGAAACUGAUUCUCCAGACAUUUGACCACAGGAAUGAAAUGAUUUUAAUUGUGUUAAAAGUCGGAUGCUUUCGGCAGUAUCAUCAAGGUAUCCUAUAAAGUUACAUAAAAAGCGUGCCAGUCGCAUUCGUCAAUGACAAAUAGACGUCACAAUAGGACUACUUCCUGCGAUUGGUAAAAUUAAUUGAGACUCAUAACUGAAAUGAGCAAGCCUUCCUGCGAUUGGUAAAAUUAAUUUUGAGACUCAUAACUGAAAUGAGCAAGCCUUCCUGCGAUGGGUAAAAUUAAUUUUGAGACUCAUAACUGAAAUGUGCAAGCCUUCGUGCUCAACAACUAGCAUGGCUUACAUGCAGAUUAGCUGUCCAACAAGAAUCGAAUGUUCCAAGGCUUGAGAGAAACAGUUUGACUGUAAUCAACAAACCCUAGGGACAGACAAGAUGCUUCAAAAUCUUAGCCAUUUCCGCUCCUUUUCCUUGCUGUUAACUGCAUGCGUUGUGGUGGCAUGAGCCGCUUCAGCAGAUGCCAAGGCUUUCCGAGCCUCUACUAACUUUCGGCCAACAGCCUCAUAUACAACUUUCUCCUUGCGGUUCCGAGUAGCCAUCUCCUGCAAUUUGCUAACUUUGCUACGAAGCUCCUUAAUUUCAUCUUCAUGAGCUACUAUUGUUUGCCGAUUGGCCUUCUCUAGUGACUGCUUAUCACUGACUGAUCCACUACAGUUGGUUUGAGAACCACCAGGCCUAACCUUACUGGAUUUAGUAGCUGAAACCUGUUGACCAGUGAGAUGAUGAUUGAUGAAGUCAAAAACAUUUCGAGUUUCUUCAAUAACCUCCAUUUUGGACUUGGCUGCUCUUUGUGCGUUAGCCCACUUUUGAUCACGCUUCCUCUUCCCACCCCUGGACUUUUUUUUUUUAGCAGUCUUUUCAGCGUCCCCUUGUUCUCCAUCUUGGUUAUCCUGACCAAAUCCCAGUGACUGCUUGGCUGGUCGCAUCUGAACCUUCACUGGUUGUAUAAUACCUUGACCAGAUACACCUAGUCCCAUUCCCUCACGAAACCCCAUGCUAGCCAUCAUCUUGGAAGCCACUCCGCGAGUGUGCUUCUCCCAAUUUGCAAAAGUAACUGUCUCUGUUUGCACACCUGCACAGAAUGAUCCAAGAGUAGGACGUUCUUCUUCGUCCACAAAAUCAUCGCUUUCAUCCCCAUCUUCAUCUGAGGUGUCUGAUGCAUCACUAAGUAAUGCGUAUUCGGACUGUGCAAGGUCAUCUUUAUCGACGUCCAUUCGCUUUCCAUCAGCACUAAAUACAAUCGUGGCACGCUGCUGUCCUUCGUCCCACAACUCUAGCUCUGCAGCUCGCCAUAGCCCGUUUCCAGCUUCCGCCAGGACUGCAGAUCCCAAUGGUAUUUGCUUCCAUUCAGGAGCCUCGUAAUUGCGCAGAGCAUUCAAAUGGGCUUCUAAACCUGCGAACAGGAUGAACAAACAUCAUCAGAGAUCAUGAACAACGAGGCUCAAGUAACAAACGGCAUUCCUGGGCAGAAUACGCAAACCAUCUCAUUCACCAUCUAGUGUGUAGCUUCGCUGAGUUAAGCAUAGAUUGAAGAGCACUGUAACCCAAACAUGUUGAGGAAUAAAACAUAUUAAUCACAAAUGUAAAGCGCAGUACAUAGAGGAGAUCGAAAUUAGGAAGAAGGAAACUCGAGAAUACAGGUCGCGUUCAAUUAAACAAGGUCAAAUCCUGUUCACUUUAUCAGGCGUGCCAUGCGAAUGAAAAGCAUACGUUGCAGAGAAUGACUGCAUACCAUGAGAUAGACGGCACUUAUUACCAAAUCGACAUUGUUGCUGCAGGAAAAACCUGCACAUCUAUAUUUCCAUCGCACUGCUUUAAAAACUUGUCCUUACACAAAAGCCAACUGUCAUCCACAAGUGCAAGAUGACUUUUUUCUCUUGUGGCAACUGGCUCGAUAUUGAAGAAUAAAAACCGACAAGUAGGGGGACGUUGAAAAUCCGUGACUACGAAAUUGAGUACACUAACAUUCUAUGUUUAUCGUCCUCCACAGGGUUCCACUCUUCGACAGAGUUCUGACCAGAUAAAAGCUGCGACAGUUUUGAUGUCAAAAAGUCUUACCUGCAAUUUUUCGGAAGUUGGAUGUAGAAAAGCCACACGAGCGACAGAGUCAUCCUCCAUGCCAAGAAUACAACCAUUGUACCAUCUCCCAUCGCUAUGACGAAAACGGCAUUUAGAACCGACUGAGAACGGCUGGGGAGGGACCACAUCCCCCAUAUCUGACCUAGAAACCGACUGAGGCAGCUCAUCAGCCACCUCGAUUUGUCCCCCUUCAGAUGGAGAUUCCUGCCGCUGAGUCAUGGCAUCUACCUCUCGAAGUAGCCGAGCACGCUUGAGGUGUAACAGGCUUUCUUCUGCUCCCUUCACAGCUUGCUGUAACUCUUCCCGAAUCUACACAUCGGCACUUAACAGUUAAGUUAAUACUUAGUGAGCGUAUCACGGAUAGGAAUAAACCACAUGGUGCUCAUCGACCAGACCCUCUUUAAUAUGUGAGUCUAAAUCACAUCAAGAGCAUCAAGUUGUAGUAGGGUCGUAAAUCGGAAACCAAAGGGGAAAAUGCUAGAAGGAGAAAUCAAACACCGGGAAGUCAGAGAUGCUUGAUUUCUGAAGGGCAGGUUGAUGGUUUUCAAAGAUAAGAAGAAUACGGCAUGGGUUGUGAUCAACUUCCAACUCUUAAUCAUCAAAAGACUGUGGAAGGUAUUCAAAUAGUCUAAUACAUAGCAAUACAUACUUGUAGUAAUCAUUCGAAGACAAUUGAAACAGCAAAUUCGUGUCAUUGUAGAUAAAUUUCACAAGAAAUUCUCCACUAGCGCAAGUUCAUUCCUCACCAUCUUUCAGCUUCUAUACAAUUCAGAUCGAAAUGCCUCGCAAUUAGGGUCUCAAUGUAAGUCGUGUGUCCUUACAAUUUGUCAGCAAUUUCAAUGACUACUGCCAAAUCAUCCUCAGUGGCUUCAUUUCGCUGCACUACUGACCCACGGGCUUCUACUAAUCGAUCAACGACCAAACAGUCUAGAACAGUAUAAUCUGUGCCGAUUCCACUCAGAGCCUUAAUUUCACCUCAGAAUCAAGCUUUCGGGAGAAAAGGCAGGCAUGACGUAGGCCAUGCUCGUUUCCGUAAUCUAAAGUUCGGUAAACUUGCAGAACAUUGAAGAAAAGAGGAAAUACGAGGCUUCAGUAGACCAAGGACCUCAUAAAUCAAUCACCAUUUUGAUGCUCAUCGCCAAUCCCAGAUGCCAAAUAUUUUGCCAAGCAAAGAAAACCCACACUGUCUGAAAAUAUCUUCACUAAAAAUGAAAGUAGAAUAAUAAUACUGACCAUGAUUAGCUCGGAAUUGUUAAAAUCCACUGCAAGAGCUUCGUCAACGGCCUGCAGGGACGCCCGAUUCUCCUCCAAGUGGGUUUCUAGCUCUCCUUCCAGCGCGGUCUCAUCAUUCGCUUCGCCCAUUGCGACCAAACCCUAAUUACUCGAAAAAUCGCGCGUCGAGGCAAUCCGCAAGCACUAACAUGAAGCUGGCGGUCCAUGCAUCAUCCACGAUCUUCAAUUUUGCUCGUCAUCGGCCAAGACGCCGCAAAAACGAAAGUAGGGAGGCAAACCCAAACUCCCGGAUGAGCUCAAUGAUAUACUGCGUUCACACUUGCUAUGGGUGGUGAUGUUUGUACCCGCCCUUACCCUCCUAUUCCCGCCGUGAUAUGGAGGAGAGCAAAACAUGUUCCGGUCAUGUAGUUCUUCGCAAGGGUAAUGGUUGAUCAAGCGCAUUCAUGGCAUGUUUCUCAGCACCCAGAACAUCAUCGGUGAAGCUUCAAGUUAACCUGCAUGCCAUUGGCGAAGACCAUGGCCUUCAACUGGUGCGCUUGCCCUCAUUGUUUUCGAAGCGUAGCGUAAAUGAGUAACUUCUGUACUCAUGGGGUUAGGAGUCUGCGUAUUAUCUUCGAAGUUUGGCGCUGCAUUGUGAAGGAAUGAAAUACACUUUGUUGAGUCUAUUCUGAUCUUGAGGCGAAUGGGGACGAAUGCUCCUCGUAGCUUGUAAGUGUGAGGGUUGUAGCUAUUGAACGCAGACACAGUUUCCAUCGCUGUAGCGUAGUGCCACACGCAACCCUGGAAUUCAAGGGUUAUCGUUUCUGGCUUAGCUUACAAGAUAAUUUUUCUAGCCAGUAAAUGUCCAUUGUGCCGUCAGUAGACAACAGGGAAGAAAAGUGAGAAUUCUCUGUAGGAUUCAAGCACGAUCGCCUCAAAACCACCACUAUAUAAGACUGUUUUGAAUGAUUCUUGCCCAGCUUCUAUCACCGAUUCCUUGCUGCCUCUGAAUGCAAGAAUUUAGAACUAUAAUACCAACGUUCAAGGAGAUGGUAGGUGCAAUCGCAAGCUACUGAUACAGUUUUCGUCAUGAGGAUUAGGUCGAAAUUGCGUGAAGGCUAUUCUCGUGAUUGGAACCAUUUCGGUGGAUCUUCACAUGUGUAUUUUGGCUGUGUUCGUUGGAAGCUCCAGCUGUCUUCGGAAACCCAACCCUAACCCUAGCCCUAAUUUGGCCCUAAUCCAGGUUUAAAUGCGUCUGAAGAAUUCUAGUGAUUGUUUUGUAAGAAGUUGGGUGAUAAUGUAUUGUUUGGAGAUGAAGACACUUUUCGAAUCGGUUUGAACUUCAUAGAAAAGAAAGAGAGGAGUGGGUCAUGGAUAAAUCGCCUCCUGUUUCAAUAUGUGUAAAUUGGCUUUGUAUGUGUAUAUUUGUUUUGUAUUUUCAUGUAUUUUGUUAUUGCGAUUUAUUUGUAUUGAAGUUGGAAAUUGUUGAAAAGCAAUCUUGAUGUUUUUGUUUAUUUCAUAAACAUGGAAUUGCAAAUUUUCUGUGUGGAAAUCAUAAUUCAUUCUUUGUUUUUAAUUGAUUUAUGUCGAAUAAGUGAUUUAGUUAUACUAUUUUUAGUGUUUUAUCAAAUUCUUGUGAAAAAGGUGUAAUUAUACAUAAACAUAUCAUGAAAUCACAAAAAUCAACAGUAUAUAUGUGUAUACCAGCAUUGAGGGUGCUUGGUAUGCUUUGGGAGUAGUAUGUUGAAGCAUGGUAUUGUUGUAAAAUAAUAUACAAUAUAAUUAUAAAUCACAAUGUAAAAAAUGUAACUACACAUAUUUUUAUAUGUUUUAUGUAGUUUGUUAUAAAUCAUUGUUUAGAUUUCGUCAAUGCAAUCUCUCUCUCUCUCUCUCUCUCUCAAUAUACAUAUAUAUAUAUAUAUAUAUAUAGACAUGUGCACAUUUAUUACACAUAAGUAAUUUGCAAUGUUUUUUGAAAUAGCAGUUUCAUAAAUACACCAAUGACUUUCUUGUAAACCAAUCUUGAAUUUCAAAUAUUUUUAAUUUAUGAUUAAUGUUGAUAAAAAUAUUCUGAUGUGAUUCAAUUCACUUUCAUUUGAAUGUUAUUAUUAGUGCUUUGAAAUUGCAGACCUCUAAAACUAUGGUAAUAUCUUUUCAGUAAAUUUAUUGUAUAACUAUAAAUAUAUAGAUAUACAUAUAUUUUAAGCUCUUUUCUUCUUGUUAUUUAUCCCUUUUAAGAAUCAAAUAAUCAUGCUUAGGGAUAUGUCUCAACUUUGACUCAAUGACCAAAUUUUCUUUACCAGACAACACACAAGAAACUGUAACAUAUUUGAUGACAAAACAACCAACAACUGAAAUACCAAUUAUUACAAAUAACUUUAAUCAAAUUCUCAAAUACAUACUUUAAAACCCCAUAUUGUCUUGAUUUCCCUUGGAGCAACCUAUGCAAUCCAUGGGCAAACUUAGGGGCUUGAUGAAGCAUGUUAAGAACCCAACAAUCCUUACCCUCAUAGACUCAAGUUAAAUGAAUGCUUGAUGUUUGCCCAAUAGGGUAAUUCUUAGUAAGUGCUAGAAGCUACAAAGACCAAGCACACAUGCAACAAUCAAACACAAAAACAUAAAAAAGAGAAAAAAGUUUUUUAAAAAAAACAUAGAAGACGAGAUUGGAAACCAUGAUCCAAACCCCCUUUUUAAAAAAUAAUAACAAUUAAGAUCACCACACAUAUAGGCACAUUGUGAAGCACAAUAACAAACUUUUAUAAGCUCCAUGUAAUUAGCACUAAUUUUUUAGGAUCAAGGCUUAGGACAUAUCAAUAAAUGGUGGGUUACCCCUGACUUCGAAUCCCACCCCACCCAACCAACCAAUCCUCAACACAUUCA
rnacentral:lncRNA from 1 species